rnacentral:rRNA from 1 species
AACGAACGCUGGCGGCAUGCCUUACACAUGCAAGUCGAACGGCAGCACGGGAGCAAUCCUGGUGGCGAGUGGCGAACGGGUGAGUAAUGUAUCGGAACGUACCUUUCAGUGGGGGAUAACGUAGCGAAAGUUACGCUAAUACCGCAUAUUCUGUGAGCAGGAAAGCAGGGGAUCGCAAGACCUUGCGCUGAUUGAGCGGCCGAUAUCAGAUUAGCUAGUUGGUGAGGUAAAGGCUCACCAAGGCGACGAUCUGUAGCGGGUCUGAGAGGAUGAUCCGCCACACUGGAACUGAGACACGGCCCAGACUCCUACGGGAGGCAGCAGUGGGGAAUCUUGGACAAUGGGCGCAAGCCUGAUCCAGCCAUGCCGCGUGAGUGAAGAAGGCCUUAGGGUUGUAAAGCUCUUUUACCAGGGACGAUAAUGACGGUACCUGGAGAAUAAGCCCCGGCAAACUUCGUGCCAGCAGCCGCGG